AUAUAGAGAAAUAGAGACAAAUAGUAUAAGCAUAUAUAUUAUAUAUAUAUAUAAUUUGUAGAAUAUGGAAGAGGUUGGUUCGUCGUCACCGGUAAGUCCAGGAAGUACCGGCGGUCACCGGAAAAGGAAUCAAAAAACGUCAGGAGGAAUGUCGGGUUUGAAGAAAAGUGUUGUCAGUUUCGUCGUCUCUUUACAAGAAGGAUUCCGAUAUGUCAAAGCCUCCCUCUUCGCCCUGGUCUCUCUCUUUCUCUCUACCCCUGAUCUCCCUCUCUCUCUCUCUCACACACACACUAUUAUAUAUAUACACACACAUCUCUUUUUCUAAAUAUUUACUAUAAUUAAUAUUGAGUUUUUAAAGUCAUUUAAGAUAUUUGUAAAUUUAAAAAUGAUAGGAACAAAUUUAAUUUUAGAUAAUAAUAUAAUUAUGAAAAUUAUACAAAUAUUAAUAAUUAAUAUUUGGCAAAAAGGAAAGUGAGUGACACUCCGCAUAUUAUUGUGCGAACUAUAUAUAUAUAUAUAUUCUGAAGUUUAGAUUUAAUUAUUUUAAUUUUAAAAUAUACAAUGAAUUUUGAAAACAAAAUUAUAAACUACUCAAGAAUUAUUUUAAUAAAAAAGUUAAACAAAUAGGAUGAAGAUAGUCUUAAUUAAAAAAUCAAAAAUUAAUCUUAUAUUUUGUAUAUUUUCUAUUUUCAAAUUAAGGGAUGGAAUACUGGAUAUAUAUUUGCCCAAGUCAAUCAGUUGUAAUUAAUUAAUGAUUGGGAUUGUAAUUAAUUAAUUAAUUAAUUAAAUAUGGGAAUAUAUGGAAUUAUUAGGCGAAGAAGAUGACAGCAAGGAGUGAGAAGGAAGCAUCAGAUGCUGAUUUACAGGAAGCCAAGAUGCAGGUUGAAGCUGCCGAUGCUGCUGAGGAUGCAAAGAACAAUCUACUCAACCCCAAUUAAUUAAUUAUUACUAUCUUUCUAUUCUUAAUUAAUUUCUACUCUUAUUUCAUUUUGUUUAAGUAAUGUGUUUUCCUUAUAUUCUCUUGUACUGUAUUAGUUCUAUUUUUGUUUUUUAUUAUUAACUGUUUUUUAAAAAAUUGAUUCUUAGUUCUCAGCUAUAAAUUUAUAUUGAAUCAUAAUUGCUAAUACACGAAAUUUGUAAG
rnacentral:lncRNA from 1 species